CUUAUGCUGUGGGGACACAAUCACUGGAAUCUCUGAAAAGUGUCACGCAGCUGCUUUGGGGAAAGUGGAGCUCCCACCUCAAGGCUGUGGCUGAUUUUGGGUGCUGGCAAGGGAACACUUCAGCAGUGAAGUGCCAUACUCUGCUGAACAAACUUGGCAUCUCAUCAAGCUGACUUAUUUGGUAUGUAUUUACACUUGUAGACUUUAGUACUCUCCUGGCAAUUGAGCU
rnacentral:lncRNA from 1 species